AGUGAACGCUGGCGGUAGGCCUAACACAUGCAAGUCGAACGGCGGCACAGUAAGAGCUUGCUCUUACGGGUGGCGAGUGGCGGACGGGUGAGGAAUACAUCGGAAUCUACUUUUUCGUGGGGGAUAACGUAGGGAAACUUACGCUAAUAUCGCAUACGACCUACGGGUGAAAGCAGGGGAUCUUCGGACCUUGCGCGAUUGAAUGAGCCGAUGUCGGAUUAGCUAGUUGGCGGGGUAAAGGCCCACCAAGGCGACGAUCCGUAGCUGGUCUGAGAGGAUGAUCAGCCACACUGGAACUGAGACACGGUCCAGACUCCUACGGGAGGCAGCAGUGGGGAAUAUUGGACAAUGGGCGCAAGCCUGAUCCAGCCAUACCGCGUGGGUGAAGAAGGCCUUCGGGUUGUAAAGCCCUUUUGUUGGGAAAGAAAAGCAGCAGGUUAAUACCCCGCUGUUCUGACGGUACCCAAAGAAUAAGCACCGGCUAACUUCGUG
rnacentral:rRNA from 1 species